UACGAAGGGGGCUAGCGUUGUUCGGAAUCACUGGGCGUAAAGCGCACGUAGGCGGAUUUGUAAGUCAGGGGUGAAAUCCCGGGGCUCAACCUCGGAACUGCCUUUGAUACUGCAAGUCUAGAGUCCGGAAGAGGUGAGUGGAAUUCCUAGUGUAGAGGUGAAAUUCGUAGAUAUUAGGAAGAACACCAGUGGCGAAGGCGGCUCACUGGUCCGGAACUGACGCUGAGGUGAGAAAGCGUGGGGAGCAAACAGG
rnacentral:rRNA from 1 species